rnacentral:rRNA from 1 species
CAGUCGACGCUUCUUUUUCCACCGGAGCUUGCUCCACCGGAAAAAGAGGAGUGGCGAACGGGUGAGUAACACGUGGGUAACCUGCCCAUCAGAAGGGGAUAACACUUGGAACCAGGUGCUAAUACCGUAUAACAAUCGAAACCGCAUGGUUUUGAUUUGAAAGGCGCUUUCGGGUGUCGCUGAUGGAUGGACCCGCGGUGCAUUAGCUAGUUGGUGAGGUAACGGCUCACCAAGGCCACGAUGCAUAGCCGACCUGAGAGGGUGAUCGGCCACAUUGGGACUGAGACACGGCCCAAACUCCUACGGGAGGCAGCAGUAGGGAAUCUUCGGCAAUGGACGAAAGUCUGACCGAGCAACGCCGCGUGAGUGAAGAAGGUUUUCGGAUCGUAAAACUCUGUUGUUAGAGAAGAACAAGGAUGAGAGUAACUGUUCAUCCCUUGACGGUAUCUAACCAGAAAGCCAUGGCUAACUACGUGCCAGCAGCCGCGGUAAUACGUAGGUGGCAAGCGUUGUCCGGAUUUAUUGGGCGUAAAGCGAGCGCAGGCGGUUUCUUAAGUCUGAUGUGAAAGCCCCCGGCUCAACCGGGGAGGGUCAUUGGAAACUGGGAGACUUGAGUGCAGAAGAGGAGAGUGGAAUUCCAUGUGUAGCGGUGAAA